UUUAACGGUCGUCCCUAACCUACAUAAACCCUAGCGUUCGCCUCGCUCUGGAGCAGCCGCUUCCCUUCCCCACCUCUUCGCUCGCUCCUCCUCCUCCUGCGCCGACGCCUCUGCGACCAUGCCGAAGCACUACAGACCUGCGGGGAAGAAGAAGGAAGGCAACGCCGCGAAGUACGUCACCAGGUCCCAAGCCGUCAAGCUCCUCCAAGUCAGUCUCGUCACUUUCAGGAGACUAUGCAUCCUGAAAGGUGUAUUUCCCCGGGAACCUAAGAAGAAAGUCAAGGGGAACCACCACACUUAUUAUCACUUGAAGGAUAUCUUGUUCGUUAAACAUGAUCCAUUGCUCGAGAAGUUUAGGGAGAUGCGAACUUACGAAAAGAAAAUUAAGAAAGCUGAGGCAAAGAAAAAUAAGGACCUUUAUGAGCGUCUUCGCACUCGAAAGCCUACUUACACGCUUGACAGACUCAUAUUGGAGAGGUAUCCUAAGUUUGUUGAUGCUCUUAGAGACUUGGAUGACUGCCUGUCCAUGGUGCACCUUUUUGCGGCAUUACCAGCCUUGGAGCGGGAAAAUAUUGAAGUGAAGCGCAUUCACAAUUGUCGAAAGUUGAGUCAUGAAUGGCAAGCUUAUAUUGCUCGAACUCAUAAGCUCAGAAAAGUCUUCAUAUCUGUGAAAGGCAUAUAUUAUCAGGCUGAAGUUGAGGGUCAGAAGAUCACAUGGCUAACACCUCAUGCCUUGCAGCAAGUUCUGCCCGAAGAUGUGGACUAUAAUGUCAUGCUAACUUUUCUGGAAUUUUAUGAGACUCUUCUUGCUUUUUCGAAUUUCAAGCUAUAUCAUUCAAUCAAUGUGAAUUAUCCACCGAUCCUUGAUCCCCAACUGGAGGCUUUAGCUGAAGAGCUUUAUGCAUUGUCAAGAUAUCUUGAUGCUAAUACUAGAUCCUCCCAUGCCUCUGGAUCUGACCAAGUGGAAGGUCAACAAAAUGAAAAGCAGCAUGAUGAAUCUGAUUUAAGGCUCGCACAACUUCAACAUCAGCUUCCUCAUAAUGAGCCUGGGGUUCUAAUGCACCUUGUUGAAGAUGCUGCUGGUGAGGAUGAGGAGGAUGAAGAUACGAAGGAGUGCAAGAAUUUCUUUAAGGAUAUGAAGUUCUUCUUGGGUCGUGAGGUUCCUAGAGAGUCAUUGCUUUUCGUUAUUCCUGCUUUUGGAGGUAUUGUUUCUUGGGAGGGAGAUGGGGCUCCAUUUAGGGAGGCUGAUCAGAGCAUUACCCAUCAGAUUGUUGAUAGACCAACUCAAGGUCAUAAAUUCCUCUCUAGAGAGUAUGUUCAGCCUCAAUGGAUUUACGACUGUGUGAAUGCAAGAAUUAUCUUGCCAACUGAGGGUUACCUGGUGGGAAGGGUUCCUCCACCACACUUGUCGCCUUUUGUCGAUAAUGAAGCAGAGGGUUAUGUGCCAGACUAUGCAGAGACCAUUAAGCGCUUGCAGGCUGCUGCCAGAAAUGAGGUUCUUCCAAUGCCAGGCACCGUAAAAGAAGACUUGGAAGAUCCUCAGCGUCUCUUGGUUGAAGGGAUCAUCGACCGUGCUGAGGCAAAUGAAGCUGCUGAGAAGAAGCGGAAGAUGGCAACUCUCGAAAAACAGUAUCAUGACGUGUUAAAAAUGGAACUAGAGGGAGCCCAGUAUUCUUCAUCUUUGAUAAAUAAAAACAGAGAGCAAUGCAGCGAGUGGAGAAGCUAGGGAGGAAUCGGUUCCUGAUCUGCAACAAAUUGCCGACCAUUGUACAAAUAUGUCGGAGAUCAUGAUGUCACGGAAAAAGAUGAGGCUUUUAGAAGCCAUGGAGGUAGCUUAUAAUAUAGGGAAGAAAUGUAAACAGGCUAGUGUCGAUCUUCUUGAAGAAUGGAAGAAGAAAAAUGAAGCAGGACAGACGCCAAAGGCGAAAUCAUUCAGCCCGGAAUUUUGAGCUUUAUUUGGAGUAUUCGAUUUCUUUAUAAUGUGCUUUAUUCUGUUGGAAGAAUAGUGUAUUGCCAAUUAGAGGAAUUGGCUGAAAUUUUUGCAGAAAUAUAAAUGAUAGGAAUGCGUAAAUUGUAUACUUCUCAAAACUUCAAGAGCGAGGUCGUUCAACUUGCCCGUGGGAAUGGACUUUAGUUCUAGCUAAGAAUAUGUUUGUUCACCCUCGACA